UCAGAGACUGCUACAGGAAGUGACUGAUCAAGCCCUGCCUAUAAAGGAAGCAGGAAGUGGAGGGUUCCUUCUUUAAUCUUCAAGGCUGCACAGAGCAGGCAGCAACAGAAAUUUUUCACUCCUUAUUCAAUGUGGUGAAUAAGUCAAAAGAGUAACUAACAUUCUGACUCACUCCAUACGUGCACCAUACAUGUGGAGGACUGCACACACACCUGUGGAGGAUGUAGAGGACCAUCUCUUUGCUUCCUGCACUGGCAGCGUGAUGACGUCAACUGCAGCCGGACGAGUCGAGUGAGGUGAGGUGGGGCUCCCUUCAGGUGGGGCUCCCUUCAGGUGGGGCUCCCUUCAGGUGGGGCUCCCUUCAGGUGGGGCUCCCUUCAGGUGGGGCUCCCUUCAGGUGGGGCUCCUGCAGCUGAUGAUUCACUUCAAAGACACAUGGGCAGCCUGACCAAAACAAGAUGAAGAGCUGUUAGCAUGUCUGCUACACCAUGCUGCCUCACUUCCUUCAACAUUUGGUGUUUCCUCGCUCUGAAGAGAAGGAUCUGUGCUGCAGCUGGAAGGAUUUUUUUUAAGAAUAAAGUUUACUUGAUAGCUGUUUUCUUUCAGUCAUAGUUUGUUGUUUUUAUCUUUCAGCUAUAGAUUUAGUUUAAAGUCUGUUUGCGUUAACUUUCAUUUGCAGUUUUCUCUUAAAACACUUUCAAAUUGUAUUAUGAAAGUCUUAAUUUGUUUCAUGUUGUCAGCAUCUUCAAUUCCUAAUGAAUGUUUUGUUGUAGUUGUUUCCUUCUUUGUUAAUCAGCUGUGAUAUUUGUUUUCAUUUGAAGUUUGGAUUUUUUUUAUAACAUUAGAUAAAUACAGACAAGUUUCCUCAGAACAAUGAAAGCUGUAAGCUACUAUAAAUAAAACACCUGGCAGAUAACCAGAACAUAAUUACAGAAGUCACUGAUGCAGAAUGGACAGCAGUAGUUUUAUUACAAUAAAAUAUUGAACAGCCAUGA